UACGUAGGGGCCUAGCGUUGUCCGGAUUUAUUUGGCGUAAAGAGCUCGUAGGCGGUCUGUCGCGUCGGCUGUGAAAACUCGGGGCUCAACCCCGAGCCUGCAGUCGAUACGGGCAGACUAGAGUGCUGUAGGGGAGACUGGAAUUCCUGGUGUAGCGGUGAAAUGCGCAGAUAUCAGGAGGAACACCGGUGGCGAAGGCGGGUCUCUGGGCAGUAACUGACGCUGAGGAGCGAAAGCGUGGGGAGCGAACAGG
rnacentral:rRNA from 1 species